rnacentral:rRNA from 1 species
UACGUAGGUGGCGAGCGUUGUUCGGAAUUACUGGGCGUAAAGGCGCGUAGGCGGCCUUCUAAGUCAGACGUGAAAUCCCCCGGCUUAACCUGGGAACUGCGUCUGAUACUGGGAGGCUUGAGUAUGGGAGAGGGAUGUAGAAUUCCAGGUGUAGCGGUGAAAAUGCGUAGAUAUCUGGAGGAAUACCGGUGGCGAAGGCGGCAUCCUGGACCAUAACUGACGCUGAGGCGCGAAAGCUAGGGGAGCAAACGGGAUUAAGAAAACC